UACAGAGGUCUCAAGCGUUGUUCGGAUUCAUUGGGCGUAAAGGGUGCGUAGGCGGUUCGUCACGUCGGGAGUGAAAACUCGGAGCUUAACUCCGAGCCUGCUUCCGAUACGGGCAGACUAGAGGUAGGCAGGGGAGAGCGGAACUCCUGGUGUAGCGGUGGAAUGCGCAGAUAUCAGGAAGAACACCAGUGGCGAAGGCGGCUCACUGGACUGGUAUUGACGCUGAGGUGCGAAAGCGUGGGGAGCAAACAGG
rnacentral:rRNA from 1 species